GGUUGCUUAGCUCAGUUGGUUAGAGCGUGGUGCUAAUAAUGGUAAAUAGGUCCUCGGUUCGAUCCCGGGAGUGACCA
rnacentral:tRNA from 1 species